rnacentral:rRNA from 1 species
UACGUAGGGAGCGAGCGUUGUCCGAAGUUACUGGGCGUAAAGCGCGCGUAGGCGGGCUGUUAAGUGAGAGGUGAAAGGCUGGGGCUUAACCCCAUGCAGUGCCUCUCAUACUGGCGGUCUUGAAUUCGGCAGGGAGAAGUGGAAUGGCUGGUGUAGCGGUGAAAUGUGUAGAGAUCGGGGGGAACACCGGUGGCGAAGGCGGGUCUCUGGGCAUCUCCUGACGCUGAGGCGCGAAAGCGUGGGGAGCAAACGGG